AGUGGAGCAACUACUUACCCACAACAAAUAUCAUCCGAUACUCAAAUGAGGAAGUUCCCCGCUGAAUUUCAAAUUAUAAAUGAUUUGGAAAAUGAUGCUGUAGCCCCUAUUGAAAACUGGCAUAGACAAGUACUGAUCUGCAUUAAUAUCACGGUACAGAAAUCAGCGAACCAAAAACGUAUAAUGCAGCACUGAUUUGAAUAAUUCUUUUAGACUAAGAGAAAUUUGAUAAGAAGGAAAACGGAUUUCUGGGUUCCAUCGGACUAUACAUUUUUAAGUUUAAAUGAAAUGUCAUGAACAUGGUGCAACAACGUUAAAGGCCGCUGUUAAGAAUAGUAAUGUCGAUGCAUGAGUGACAGCGAAUGAUGUCAUAAAAUCAGAAGUAUCGGAUUUGAAAUCCAUUGUAGUGGAUUUAAUGAAUGUGGUUUCUACCUUAGAGCACACUGGAUAGAGAUACCGGUGGUGAAUGUGGGAGGCCUUGUACCAGGGAUGCAACCCUGACAGGUACCUAAUGUUGAUUAUUAAUGGAACCAUUCCUCCUCUUGGCGUAGGUACAGGACACCCGAAUAUCGGCUGGGUAGAUAUGAUCGCUCGGACUUCCGUAACCGAGAUAGGACGCCCGAAUAUCCACGGCGUAGAUAUGAGCAUGCCGACACACAUUGCAGACAAAACAUUCCAUACCGCAGGGCAUACACAGGUAGUCCCAAACGGGUUACAUUUAUCACCAAAUAUUCUAGUUCAGGAAACUAAAGUCAGCUGGAAAUGUGGGUCAAUAUUCGGCUUAUGCAAGUGGAAAUACUAGUGAUAUGCAAAGACCCCUCAGUUGUCAUCAGCAGGAAGGAAAUUCAGUUACAGACGAAUAAAGUGUUAUCUUAAUUACAAUAUAUCACGCUUAUAUUGUCAAAUUAAGAUACAAAAUUAAGAACCCAAUAGUGCCAAAAAAGAUAUCAUAAAAUGCUACAAAUACCGGAGCGGCUAGGGGAUUCACCCCCACAACCCCAACCAGGGCCCUUCGCAGCCCCUGGCCCCCAGCGUAUGGCUCGGGCCUUCAAUCCCUUCGUUGCGCCACUGAUUCUUUGUAGUUAUUACAAUUAAUUACAAUUUUUGCACCCCACUGCCCGAUGGGAACCUCCCUGAAUACAUGAAACAGGGAAUGAACUAAUACAUUUACUGCAAACGACUUGUGCACAUGCCUCUUAAAUGUAAUAAAAUCAAACAGAGUAGGCAUUAAAGGGUUUUUUUUCCCCAUGCGUGGAAGUACGACUACAAGACCGUACUUUUUUCUUUAAAGUUUCAUCCAUGUGUUUUCUGUUUAUCCCUACAUCAAAAACUAUAUUAAGCCACUGUUUCAAAAAGUGUAUGUCGUUGGUUGUGGAGAAUAUUGCCAUUGAAAAAUAAGGUGGGUGGCAUUUUGAAUAGGGAAUAACAAUCACCAAAAAAAAAAUGCUAAAUGACUAGUCUUGUUCUUAUGUGAAUUUUCUCAGGUGUUCAUCAGUCAAUGUACCUUGAGUUUUAUAUGAAAAAAAAAAAGAAAAAAAAAAAA